rnacentral:rRNA from 1 species
AUGGACCCAGUUUUGCUGGGUUUGAUGGCGACCGGCGCACGGGUGAGUAACACGUAUCCAACCUGCCGUCUACUCUUGGACAGCCUUUCGAAAGAAAGAUUAAUACCUGAUGGAAUGAUGGGAUUGCAUGAUAGCAUCAUUAAAGAUUUAUCGGUGUACGAUGGGGAUGCGUUCCAUUAGAUAGUAGGCGGGGUAACGGCCCACCUAGUCGACGAUGGAUAGGGGUUCUGAGAGGAAGGUCCCCACAAUGGAACUGAGACACGGUCCAUACUCC